rnacentral:tRNA from 1 species
GCCUGGGUGGCUCAGUUGGUUGAGCGUCUGACUUCGGCUCAGGUCAUGAUCUCCCAGUCUGUGGGUUCGAGCCUCACUUCGGGCU